GAUGAAGAACGCAGCGAAAUGCGAUAAGUAAUGUGAAUUGCAGAAUUCAGUGAAUCAUCGAAUCUUUGAACGCACAUUGCGCCCGCCAGUAUUCUGGCGGGCAUGCCUGUUCGAGCGUCAUUUCAACCAUCAAGCCCCCGGCUUGUGUUGGGGACCUGCGGCUGCCGCAGGCCCUGAAAACCAGUGGCGGGCUCGCUAGUCACUCCGAGCGUAGUAAUACAUCUCGCUCAGGGCGUGCUGCGGGUUCCGGCCGUUAAAAAAGCCUUAUUUACCCAAGGUUAACCUCGGAUCAGGUAGGAAGACCCGCUGAACUUAAGCAUAUCAAUAAGCGGAGGA
rnacentral:misc_RNA from 1 species